rnacentral:rRNA from 1 species
CGUUAGCGGCGGACGGGUGAGUAACACGUGGGUAACCUACCUAUAAGACUGGGAUAACUUCGGGAAACCGGAGCUAAUACCGGAUAAUAUUUCGAACCGCAUGGUUCGAUAGUGAAAGAUGGUUUUGCUAUCACUUAUAGAUGGACCUGCGCCGUAUUAGCUAGUUGGUAAGGUAACGGCUUACCAAGGCGACGAUACGUAGCCGACCUGAGAGGGUGAUCGGCCACACUGGAACUGAGACACGGUCCAGACUCUACGGGAGGCAGCAGUC